GCACCGUUAGCUCAAUUGGCAGAGCAGCUGACUCUUAAUCAGCGGGUUGCUGGUUCGAUUCCAGCACGGUGCA
rnacentral:tRNA from 1 species